GGAGAGAUGGCUGAGCUGGUCUAAGGCGCACGACUGGAAAUCGUGUUACGGCUAAUACCCGUACAAGGGUUCGAAUCCCUUUCUCUCCGCCA
rnacentral:tRNA from 1 species